GACGAACGCUGGCGGCGUGCUUAACACAUGCAAGUCGAACGGAAAGGCCCUGCUUUUGUGGGGUGCUCGAGUGGCGAACGGGUGAGUAACACGUGAGUAACCUGCCCUUGACUUUGGGAUAACUUCAGGAAACUGGGGCUAAUACCGGAUAGGAGCUCAUGCUGCAUGGUGGGGGUUGGAAAGUUUCGGCGGUUGGGGAUGGACUCGCGGCUUAUCAGCUUGUUGGUGGGGUAGUGGCUUACCAAGGCUUUGACGGGUAGCCGGCCUGAGAGGGUGACCGGCCACCUUGGGACUGAGAUACGGCCCAGACUCCUACGGGAGGCAGCAGUGGGGAAUAUUGCACAAUGGGCGGAAGCCUGAUGCAGCAACGCCGCGUGCGGGAUGACGGCCUUCGGGUUGUAAACCGCUUUCGCCUGUGACGAAGCGUGAGUGACGGUAAUGGGUAAAGAAGCACCGGCUAACUACGUG
rnacentral:rRNA from 1 species